rnacentral:misc_RNA from 1 species
GAGCUACAUUUUUAAAGAUAAUGGUAUUUUUUUAAAUAUUAAAUAGGAGUUUUGGACUUCACUAUAAUCGUGGGUAAAGUUUUUUAGUAAUUUUGUUAAUGACAUAAAGAGGUGUGUUGAGGAUAAUAAAACAAGCAUUGCUCAUUUAUUGUUUUUUAAUACCAAUCAAGUCAAUACGUGUAAAAUUGUACAAUUUCAAAACUGUUCUUACACUAAUUGUAUCUACAGAUAUAUUACACACAGUAUGUUAAAUCUUAAAAGUCAUCGCAGACUACCUAGACAGUAUAAUGAAAAUGUCGUAUUAAGUAAUAUCGGUCGAUAAUUACACCUUUUUAAUAAUAAUCGGCCGACAAUUAAACCGAUAUGAUUAUAAUCAGUCAAAACUGAGCCUAUUUAUUUAGUAUUGACAGAUAAUUGAGCUUAUUUAAUCAAUAUCGGCUGAAAACUGAGCCGAUUUAAUCAAUAUUUAUUUGUGCAUAUUUGCAUACAUCUUCACACUGAUGAAAGCUAAAAAAGUUCUAUCCAUUAGUUUGUACGUAGUCUGCGAUGACACAAUAACAUAUUGAAAACGUUACACUCCUAUCAAGCGAAUUAUUACUAUUGGUACUCAAUGUGUUAGACAUAGGAUUUUUUUUGAAGUAAAACCUCAACCGCACGCAUGAUUUGGGAAGUAUGAUGGUGAAUGCGUGACGAGAGCGUUACGAAAAUUGAGAGGAAGAUAUAGAGUUACGGUUCGUAUAUUACUGUAGGAGCAACUAAAGAAGUUUUACUUCAGUCGUGUGGUCUAAAAUACACUCGUUUUUAUAAUGUCUAAACAUACAUUCAUACAUACAAAUACAUAUCUUGACUAUGAACCCAAACGGUUCGAAAUAAUCUAUAUUUGUACAAACUAAUAUACGAUUUUAACAAACAUUUAUGCACAGAUAGACAAAACCAACAUUAUAUUACAUUUUAAGAAUUUCCAUAUCAGGCUACUACAGACAACCGUUGAAUUACUGUGCUGUGACAUAGUAAUGAUGUGAGAAAGUUUGAGUCAUACAAGAAAAAUAAUAAUUCACGCUCGCAAUACUUGAUUCACAGAGCAAAGGAUGUGAUAUGUUUAUACAUUUAGUAGGUACUUUUACACAUGAAUUCAUAAUAGGAUAAUCAAUCAACAGUGAUCGUUAUUUAAUCUUAACUUUAUAUUAUUGAAACUUUUUAUCAGAAGAACAAAAUUUAGUAAAGAAAAUAUUUUUAUCAGAAACAUUAUAUUAUUAUGUUUCUGAUAAAA